rnacentral:lncRNA from 1 species
CAACGAUGGCUUUCACCGACGCUUACGGCCAAAAUACUGGAGUUGAAAACGGCUAAGGGUCUCGCAUUACAGGACAUGCUUACAGAAGUGCACAAGUAUGUACAUAGAAUUGAUUUCCCGUUGCAUGUGAGGCUCCACCUACUUGAGAAGAUGGCAGAUGUAGAGUACAGACUGGCAGCAGGAACGAGUGAGAAGAUGCAGCUCGCAGCACUGUUAGGAGCAUU